GACGAACGCUGGCGGCGUGCCUAAUACAUGCAAGUUGAGCGCUGAAGGUUGGUACUUGUACCAACUGGAUGAGCAGCGAACGGGUGAGUAACGCGUGGGGAAUCUGCCUUUGAGCGGGGGACAACAUUUGGAAACGAAUGCUAAUACCGCAUAAAAACUUUAAACACAAGUUUUAAGUUUGAAAGAUGCAAUUGCAUCACUCAAAGAUGAUCCCGCGUUGUAUUAGCUAGUUGGUGAGGUAAAGGCUCGCCAAGGCGAUGAUACAUAGCCGACCUGAGAGGGUGAUCGGCCACAUUGGGACUGAGACACGGCCCAAACUCCUACGGGAGGCAGCAGUAGGGAAUCUUCGGCAAUGGACGAAAGUCUGACCGAGCAACGCCGCGUGAGUGAAGAAGGUGUUCGGAUCGUAAAACUCUGUUGGUAGAGAAGAACGUUGGUGAGAGUGGAAAGCUCAUCAAGUGACGGUAACUACCCAGAAAGGGACGGCUAACUACGUG
rnacentral:rRNA from 1 species